UACGUAGGUGGCAAGCGUUGUCCGGAUUUACUGGGCGUAAAGAGCGCGCAGGCGGUCGUUCAAGUCGCGUGUGAAAGCCCCCGGCUCAACUGGGGAGGGUCACGCGAUACUGAUCGACUCGAAGGCAGGAGAGGGUAGUGGAAUUCCCGGUGUAGUGGUGAAAUGCGUAGAUAUCGGGAGGAACACCAGUGGCGAAGGCGACUACCUGGCCUGUUUCUUGACGCUGAGGCGCGAAAGCUAGCGGAGCAAACGGG
rnacentral:rRNA from 1 species